rnacentral:piRNA from 1 species
UGCCUUGGCUAUGUGGGAGCUUGGCCAC